GCUGGAUGCAGUGUUGUGUGCCUAUAGUCUCAGCUACUUGGGAGGCUGAGGCAGGAGGAUCACUUGAGCCCACAAGUUCAAAAGCAACCUGGUUAACAGAGUGGGAUCCCAUCUCAA
rnacentral:sRNA from 1 species